rnacentral:rRNA from 1 species
UACGUAGGGUGCAAGCGUUGUCCGGAAUUAUUGGGCGUAAAGGGCUCGUAGGCGGUCCAUCGCGUCGGGAGUGAAAAGCUGGGGCUUAACCCCAGUCCUGCUUCCGAUACGGGCUAGCUAGAGUGUGGUAGGGGAGAUCGGAAUUCCUGGUGUAGCGGUGAAAUGCGCAGAUAUCAGGAGGAACACCGGUGGCGAAGGCGGAUCUCUGGGCCAUUACUGACGCUGAGGAGCGAAAGCGUGGGGAGCGAACAGG